GCCCGCCAUAUUUGCAUUCGGUGUAUUCACAAAUUUCGGAGACCUUUUCUCACUAACAAUAUGCCCUUUGCAGCUAUGCUGUCAGUUGUUGCCUGAAGAGCCAAUGUCUUAAGAAGAAGUGGAGAAUUCAUCGGCAUCUGAAUAUGAAGAUGCUUCUGAUUCAGAGAGUGAUGUCAAUGAUGAGCUAUUUGGGAAAUAUGUGCCAAGUUGAUUUCCUUGACAUCCAACAUGACCUGAAUAGCUUGCAGAAUUGGUCCACUGAUAUUGAGAUUCUUUCCAACCAUCUAAAUAUGUAAACCCCAGGAUAACAAGAAAAAGACAAAGCUCUGAAGCUUAUAUAUGCAUGUUAAUGGCUAAAGAUCUUAAAUUUGUCUCUUCUGCGAAAGACCUUGGCACCAUUGUCUUGAAGGACUUGAAGUGGACUGCACACAUUGCUCGGGUGGUUGCAAAAUCUAAUAGAAUGCUGGGAUUGAGGGUGACCUCAAUAAGGAGUCUCUGAAGCUCUGUUAUAUCUCCCUUGUGCACUCUAAUCUAUGUUACACCUCACAGCUUUGGGCACCGCAAUCUCUUACGUUGAUGCAUGAAGUAGAAAAUAUUCAAAGGAGAGCUACACGUUUUAUCUGCAAGAACUCUGAGCACUCUUACAAGGACAGACAUGUGAAUCUGAACCUCCUUAGUAACCUAUCAACUUCUGGCUGGAAUCUCUUGAUUUAUUAUUUCUCUAUAAGUGUAUUUAGGGAAUUAUUGAUAUUAAUUUAGAUAAAUUUGCUCCAUUUUUAGUGUGCAUUCUCAUCAGGGAUCUUUUGGGCUUUUUCUCAACAACAAAACUGCUAAAACAUCUCUUUUCUGUGAUUCCUUCUUAAUCUGAAUAACUAAUCUGUGGAAUGCAUUAUCUAUUGCCCUGGAGCAGAGUAUUUUUGAUGAAAUUUAAGGUGUUCAGAUAAAUGAUAUCACACUGUCAUCAUUGUUUAAAAUGCAAAUAAGUUAUGUAUCAGCAGUCUCAUAGUGUCAGCAUUGAUGGCUAUUGUGGAUACAAUGGAAGACAUGUAUUCAUUGUAAAUGUAUGGGACUACGCAAAAAUUCAACCUCUGGUAUGGUUGAUGUCAAACAUCACAUAUCCUGGAAAGUUAACUCGCAAACUGUUAACAUGCAUGAUGAAGAUCUGGUCUCUUUUAUAAAGGACAGGGUGCUGUCUCUUUUAUUAAGGAUAGGCUGCUCUCAGCAAGAAACAGUUGGGUUACAAUGCAUUAAAUCAUUCUCUUUGCUUGCCCAGUAGGGGACAGAUUUGCAGCAAAAUUACUCUUCACUCAAUAAUAUGUGCUUUUCCAUUUAAAACAGUGGCUGGCAUAUGCCACUUUCUUUCUUUUGAUUUAUUUAGAUUAAAGCCCCUUGAACUAAAUCAUAAGAAAUAUGAUAAUAGUAUGUAUGUUAGAUGUUACCACACUUUACGUACUUUUUCAACUAUGUGUUUCAAAUAUUAAAAUGAAAUAAAUACUAAUUCAUGCACAAAUGAAUACUUAAUUCAGUACAGACAAUUGCCUAUAAUCAGCAAUUAUUGCUCCUACACGUGUUAGCAAGAACUUGGUCUUGUUGGCUUUUAUUGUGAGUGUUUGAUAAUCCAUAUAUUAGUGGAGAACACUCUCUGCAACUAUCUUUGCAAAGAAAAUACUAAUCCUUUCACCCUUACUUAAUUUCAUUCAUACAGGCAUGGAUGAGAACCAGUAGCAAAGAAAAGUAAACAAAAGUGCCAAUGAGGUGAUUCAAUCCACUGAUGGACAAAGAUGGCACCUGUACAUUUUACCAUUACUCCUAGGCUAAGGCACAUGUAGAAAGCAAUAUUUCACAAAGCAACAACAUAUGCAGGGUUUAAAUUUUUCAGACCUUUACUGCUUCUUUUUAUGAGUGGUUCCAGGAUUUUCUUGCACAACGAGUUCUGGUUGAGUGUACCCGUCACCAUGCUUUUUGCUAAUUGAGUCUGUAAAUGGAGAGCGAACACAGAAUAUUGAUGAUUGUUGAUCAAUUAAUGCUGAGUUGGCUACCUUGGCCCGAGAUGGAGGACCACGUGAGCAUGUCAUUAACAUGGAGUGGCUGGAACAAGAAAUAGUUUUGAAAGAGCAGUUGGAAAGAGGAAGAGAAGAACAAAGAAAAUGGGAGGAGCAAACGAAAAGAGAGGAACAAAGAAGGGGAGAAGAUCAUUUUUCCGACACAUACCUACACUUAAGUUAUCCCUUUUUAAAUUUUAAACUUAUAUAGAGUGUUUUCAUUCACAUGACUUUGUUUCCUUGCAACCUUACCGUCCGCCAUUAUGGUGUCCCACGAAAGAAAGUGCGAGCCGGUCACUUACUAUAUUUAUCGAUUUAAACUGUGAAAGAUCAAUAUUGUAUCGUUUGCUAUUACAAUGGUUCUGUGCAUUAUUGUUUAGUGGCAACAAGAGUGGACAAAGUUCACAAAAAAAGGAUUCUGUAGUGAAAUUUAGUCGUGUUCCGAAAAUCGUUAAGAACGAAGGCGAGGUGAUAGAGGAGUUGACACAGGUAGCCCAAGCUCUGUCACAGGCUCUUUCACAGUGAAUAAUUAAAGAGUUUAUCAGAU
rnacentral:lncRNA from 1 species